CCCGCCGCUCCUUACCCCCGCGUUUUGUUUCGGACCAGCAGGCAGCGCGCCCGCCGACCGCCGCGUGUGGGUGAUGGGAGGGGGCGGGGCGAGUGUCUUAGCAACCGGCGGCUGCUUCCAUUUAUUUAUUUACCCAUCCACUCAGCGACCGUCGUCCGCCGCCUGAAUCAACCUGAACCUGUGAGGGAAGCAUUGCUUUCGAAUAUCUCCUGCUGCAGUUACUCCCUCAUUCAUUCACACUGGAUAUGAUUUCUCAAGCUCGAGAAUUCAGCACGGGGCCAGGGUCAGCUGCAUACAGGGAAAAAGUCUACAACAGUUUAAAGGUGAUCUUUAAAGGAUCCUCUAGAGGCC